AACGAACGCUGGCGGCAGGCCUAACACAUGCAAGUCGAGCGAGGACUUCGGUCCUAGCGGCGGACGGGUGAGUAACGCGUGGGAACGUGCCCCUUGGUACGGAAUAGCCCCGGGAAACUGGGAGUAAUACCGUAUGAGCUCUACGGAGGAAAGAUUUAUCGCCAAGGGAUCGGCCCGCGUUGGAUUAGGUAGUUGGUGGGGUAAUGGCCUACCAAGCCGACGAUCCAUAGCUGGUUUGAGAGGAUGAUCGGCCACACUGGGACUGAGACACGGCCCAGACUCCUACGGGAGGCAGCAGUGGGGAAUCUUAGACAAUGGGCGCAAGCCUGAUCUAGCCAUGCCGCGUGAGCGAUGAAGGCCUUAGGGUUGUAAAGCUCUUUCAGCUGGGAAGAUAAUGACUGUACCAGCAGAAGAAGCCCCGGCUAACUCCGUGCCAGCCGCCGCGGUAC
rnacentral:rRNA from 1 species